rnacentral:lncRNA from 1 species
CUGCAUCUCUUAGGGAAGGAAGUUUUGGACUCUGGAAGAAGAUCCUCUACAUUCUCAUUUUAAAACUGUACUAUCUCUCAUAUUACGGGUGAAUUCUCAACAGGAAAGUUAUUUGUGGUAGCAGGUUGUGUUUUCCAAAGAUGGUCAUAAUGUUUCCCACCCCACAUACUCUCCUGUAACCUUGACAAUGUUCCAUUAAGGAGUGUUCCCUCUGUGUUCUCUCCCUUCAAUCCUGGGCAGGCUUUAAUGAUUGUCUUGACAAAUAUAGUACAGGUUGUUGUGUAUCGCUAAUCCCAAAAUAUCCAAAAUCCAAAACACUUCUGGCCCCAAGCAUUUUGGAUAAGGGAUCCUCAACCUAUGUGGUGGAAGUAAGCAGUGUGACUUCUGAAUUAGGUAACAAAUAUGCUAUGCGCUUCUACUUUGCUCUUGCAGAAUGCUCAUGCUUGGAACCCUAUGUCCAAGUUGUAAGGAAGCCCAAGCAGCCCAUAAAGAGGCCCACGUUAAGAAGAACCAGGACCCACAGUCUAAGUGAACUCUCAGCUAAUAGCACCAUUUUGCCAACCAUGAGUCAAACUGGCAGCUUCAAGGACCUUGGCUGAAAUUGGUCCAUUUGGAUAUGUGUGCUUGUUUCUGCAAUGUCCUGAAUGACUGUGGGAAAGGGCUUCACAAGGCUUCAUAAGACACCUGGAUCUCAUAUCUGCUUCUGCAUUCAAUCUGUUGCACCAAGUUGUUUUGACUGAAGGGUAUGAAGAAAAACUGGCCUCAUCCAAAUAUGCGGUUGGAAAAGGGUGGAGUAUUUUAACAGCCCUUCAAAUAAUUGUGAGUAUUCUUCAUUGAUAUCUCAUCAAAACUCAAUAAGUAGUAGUUUCUUAAAGUGUACUGCAUAAUCACAUAACAUUUUAUAUGAUUUUAUUAAGAUCCAUUUAUCUAUUUUUCACUUUGAAUAAAUUUUAACCCAUGCAAUGAUUUCAUAAUAGUGUACAUUAAUCAUUUAGACAAUAUUGGUUCCCUGAGUUAUAUAACUUUUCCAACUUGACCAAUUUCAAUACAGUGUUAAAAAUCACAUUCAUUAAUACUAUAGUUUGGUGCAAAAGUAAUUGUGAUUUUUGCCAUUACUUUUAAUCUAUCUACCAUCUAUCUUAUUCAAAAGCUGUGGAAUUCACAUUGGUGGAUACAAGUUUUCCAAAAUUUUAAUUUUUGCUUGAAAGCUCAUUCUUUAUUAUUGGGCAACACACACUUUCAGUUAUUUUUCUUAUAGUAGCAGAUUCAUUUCAUUCAUUUUUGAGAAACUGUCUGCCAAAUACCAAAGUGUCCAUAACUAUACUUUGCCUGUCAGUUGUUUCUUCAAGUAAAAAUGGUGUUCCAUGAGAAAAGUACCAAGGGCAGCUUAGGACAGCUUAGAAUGUUUCCUCCAGUCAAACAUUGUAUUUCUGGAUGUCACAGAAGUGCUUCUCAUGUGUACUUUCCAUUUUUUUACUCAGAAUAUUACAAAGGUAUGUGCUUAAGGUUAAAGGGUUAAAAAAAUGAAUAAAACUUACUGCCUUAUCAAGGACAUUUCUAAGUAAAAUUGGCAUUUUCUUUUUCUGCUUUUUUUCUUUUUUCUUUUUUUAACUGUGAGUGUGUGGCUGUGAUGAAUAGAAAUACAGUCAUGCACUGCAUAAUGAAGUUUUGGUCAACAAUGGACUGCAUAUCUGACUGUGGUCCCACAAGAUUAUAAUACCAUAUUUUUACCAUACCUUUUCUAUGAUUAGAUAUAUUGAGAUAUACAAAUACUUAUGUGUAAAAAUUGCCUACCGAAUUCAGUAUAGUAAUAUGCUGUACAGGUUUGUAGCCUAGGAACAAUAGGCUGUACCAUAGAGCUUGGAUGUGUAGUACGCUAUACCAUCUAGAUUUGUGUAAAUACACUCUAUCAUGUUCACACAACGAAAUCACCUAAGGACACAUUUCUCAGAACAUCUUCCUGAGGUUAAGCGACACAUGACUGUACUGCUAGCACAAUUUGGUGGCACUGCACUGAUUCAUGCUAAAGUACCAGCAGUUUUAACUACCAUUGCUUUUGCACCAUGGGUAUAAAUGUCAACACAAUUUAAAAGGUAAAUGAUACCUUUGUAUUACUAUGAAAAUAGUUUUGACAACAUAGGAACUGGUAUUGGGAUCCCUCAUGAGUCUAUAAACCACACACUGAACACUGCUGUACAACAGGAUCUCAGAAGUAAGGAUCCAGUUGGCUUGGGGAAAGACAGGAGGUCUAGUGAGACCCUUAAGGGUACAACAUAAUGGUCAGAAAAGAGCUGCCCUUCAAGGAAGUGUGAUAAUACUGGUAUUGAAUGCUGCAGGAAGGUCAAAUAGGGUGAAGAUGGAGAUGACACCACUGGAUUUGACAAAUGGGCUGAUGCUGAUGACCUUACUGAGAGAGCUGUUUGAACAGAUGUGUAAUAGAUUAAUUACAGAUGGAGGAGUGAAGGGCAGAGAAAAAGCUGGAAAAAGAGUUUGGCAAUGAAAACCAGGGAGCUGGGCUAACUAUGUGGGCAGUCACGGUCACAAGCAGAUUUUUGGUAGUGUGGGGAAACACUUAUUGGCUGAAGAAAUGAAACUAACAAAGAGGGAGAGAGAAGAGAUAGUAAGGAUAUGUUGAAGUCUGAACCCCAGGACCUCAGAACAUGACCUUGUUUGGAAAUAGGGUCAUCAAAGAUGUAAUUAGUUAAAAAGAUGUCAUACUGAAGUGGUAUGGGACCCUAAUCUAAGUUGACUAGUGUCCUUAUAAGAAAGCCAUGUGAAGACAGAGAAACAUAGGGAGAGUGUCCUGUGAAGACAGUGAAGUGGCACCUCUGCAAGCCAAGGAAUGCUAAAUAUUGCUAGCAAACCACCAGAAGCUAGGAAGAAGCAAAAAAGGAUUCUCCUAUGGGAUCCAGAGGUAUCACCGCACUGCUGACACCUUGGCUUUGGACUUUAGCCUUCAGAAUUGUAUGGUAAUAAAUUUUUAUUGUUUUAAGCCACUCAGUUUGUGGCACUUGGUUACAACAGCCCCAGGAAACAAAUAUAGGCAGCCUUGCAGACCUACAGAACCAGAUGACUCUGGGAAGAAUACAGAGCACCUAAUAUAAUUACACCAUUUCCCCCCAGGAGAGGAGGAAGUGGAUAUUUGGGUCAUUCCAAGGUGAUGAGUACAAGACAGGUGUGUGUGUGUGUAUGUGUGUGUGUGUUGAGGGAUAGGAGAAGAAACAUGAAGGAAUAACUUGAAAGGCUUGGCAAGUAGGCAAUGAGAUGCCCGACUAUGAGAGGUUGUGAGGAAAGAAGAGAAACCAGGAGUAUCACAUUCAACUGAAAGAAUGGGAAGAUGUGAGACUUCAAGGUUCUGGAUGAGUUAGAAAAAUAAGUUUUGUAGGAAUGACAUAGUGGGAAAAGUAGAAGACAAAAAAAUUGUAAACCCAAAAGAUAAUUUUGUAAGUUUAAGGUUUCAGAAGGUUUUCAGUGUCAGAUGCCCUUAGGGUCAACAUGAGGCACAUGAAUGGAAUUGUGAUGGAUGACAGGGUGAGGAUGAUGGGAAUAGAGGCUAAAGAAUAGCGAGGUAAGAGGAUUGCACGGUGACCACCGACUCAGGAGGACAACAGGAAACAGAGUUGAGGGACAACCAUGAGCCAGAUAAGCUGCGUGAGAAACAGGAGGAGUGACCUGGAGAGCCGCAGGGUAUGGCAGCAUAGACAGGAAGAAAAGAGUUCAACUGGAGGGCAGGGGCUUCACAGAGAUCAUCUAUAAAAAGGGAUGGAACAACAGUCUAGAAGCAUAGGAGGAAGCCAGAGAAUUCUAAGCCUAAUAUUCUGGGCUUCAGAGGUAGGGAACUGGAGAAUAAUCUGCCUAGCAAUGUGUAAUUGCGAGGGAAUAAGCAUUGCUCAGAGCAAUUAAAGACUUGGUAAGGAGAGGAUAUGGAGUGAUUAUUGUAGAGCACAAAUGGUACUCUGAGAAAAUCAAUAAUGGACUCUAGAGAAGAAAGUGGGAGAGGUUAGAAUAGGGGUUGGAGGCUGGGCACGGUAGCUCACG